rnacentral:sRNA from 1 species
CUUCCUCGAUCUGCUGCGGGCAGAUGAAAUGGAUGUGGCUGUCGAUGCCGCCCGCGGUGACGAUCAUGCCUUCGCCGGCAAUGAUCUCGGUGCCCGCGCCGAUGGCGAUGGUGAUGCCCGGCUGCACGUCCGGGUUGCCGGCCUUGCCGAUGGCGGAGAUGGUGCCGCCCUUAAGCCCGAUAUCGGCCUUGAUGAUGCCGGCCACGGCAUCGACGAUGAGCGCAUUGGUGAUGACGGUAUCGGCCACGUCGGCCGCCACGCGCUGGCCCUGUCCCAUGCCGUCGCGGAU